UUAAAUUGAAGAGUUUGAUCAUGGCUCAGAUUGAACGCUGGCGGCAGGCCUAACACAUGCAAGUCGAACGGUAACAGGAAGCAGCUUGCUGCUUUGCUGACGAGUGGCGGACGGGUGAGUAAUGUCUGGGAAACUGCCUGAUGGAGGGGGAUAACUACUGGAAACGGUAGCUAAUACCGCAUAACGUCGCAAGACCAAAGAGGGGGACCUUCGGGCCUCUUGCCAUCGGAUGUGCCCAGAUGGGAUUAGCUUGUUGGUGGGGUAACGGCUCACCAAGGCGACGAUCCCUAGCUGGUCUGAGAGGAUGACCAGCCACACUGGAACUGAGACACGGUCCAGACUCCUACGGGAGGCAGCAGUGGGGAAUAUUGCACAAUGGGCGCAAGCCUGAUGCAGCCAUGCCGCGUGUAUGAAGAAGGCCUUCGGGUUGUAAAGUACUUUCAGCGGGGAGGAAGGGAGUAAAGUUAAUACCUUUGCUCAUUGACGUUACCCGCAGAAGAAGCACCGGCUAACUCCGUGCCAGCAGCCGCGGUAAUACGGAGGGUGCAAGCGUUAAUCGGAAUUACUGGGCGUAAAGCGCACGCAGGCGGUUUGUUAAGUCAGAUGUGAAAUCCCCGGGCUCAACCUGGGAACUGCAUCUGAUACUGGCAAGCUUGAGUCUCGUAGAGGGGGGUAGAAUUCCAGGUGUAGCGGUGAAAUGCGUAGAGAUCUGGAGGAAUACCGGUGGCGAAGGCGGCCCCCUGGACGAAGACUGACGCUCAGGUGCGAAAGCGUGGGGAGCAAACAGGAUUAGAUACCCUGGUAGUCCACGCCGUAAACGAUGUCGACUUGGAGGUUGUGCCCUUGAGGCGUGGCUUCCGGAGCUAACGCGUUAAGUCGACCGCCUGGGGAGUACGGCCGCAAGGUUAAAACUCAAAUGAAUUGACGGGGGCCCGCACAAGCGGUGGAGCAUGUGGUUUAAUUCGAUGCAACGCGAAGAACCUUACCUGGUCUUGACAUCCACAGAACCUUGUAGAGAUACGAGGGUGCCUUCGGGAACUGUGAGACAGGUGCUGCAUGGCUGUCGUCAGCUCGUGUUGUGAAAUGUUGGGUUAAGUCCCGCAACGAGCGCAACCCUUAUCCUUUGUUGCCAGCGGUCCGGCCGGGAACUCAAAGGAGACUGCCAGUGAUAAACUGGAGGAAGGUGGGGAUGACGUCAAGUCAUCAUGGCCCUUACGACCAGGGCUACACACGUGCUACAAUGGCGCAUACAAAGAGAAGCGACCUCGCGAGAGCAAGCGGACCUCAUAAAGUGCGUCGUAGUCCGGAUUGGAGUCUGCAACUCGACUCCAUGAAGUCGGAAUCGCUAGUAAUCGUGGAUCAGAAUGCCACGGUGAAUACGUUCCCGGGCCUUGUACACACCGCCCGUCACACCAUGGGAGUGGGUUGCAAAAGAAGUAGGUAGCUUAACCUUCGGGAGGGCGCUUACCACUUUGUGAUUCAUGACUGGGGUGAAGUCGUAACAAGGUAACCGUAGGGGAACCUGCGGUUGGAUCACCUCCUUA
rnacentral:rRNA from 1 species